rnacentral:lncRNA from 1 species
CCCUCCUUAAUGGUAUGUAACCUGUAAGAUGAAGUACUAUUUUCUCCUCCAGAUCCUUUAAUUAAUGAUCUUCAUUAGCACUUGAUGGAAAUAAAAUUGGAUAGAAUAGAUAUUGGUACCAGGUUCAUAGAGCAUUACUGUGGUGGCCAUAACCAUUUUUUUUGGGGGGGGGGGAGACUGUAUGCUCCUUGGUUUUCAGGUUAGUUUCUGGGAGCUCUGAGGUGUCCAGCUUAAUUGCUCUUCCUAUGGGGUUGCAAUCACCAUCAGCUCAUUCAGUCUGUACACUAACUCUUCCAUGUGGAUUCCUGACCUCAGUUCAAUGGUUGGCUGUAAGUAUCUGCAUAUGUCUCAGUCAUUAGCUGGUAGACCCUCUCAGACAUCAGUCAUGCUAGGCUCCUGUCUACAAGUACAUCAUGGCUUCAGUAAUAGUGUAGUAGUAGGAUUUUAAAAUUUGGGGUAGGAAAAAAAGUUGAAUGCUUUUGACUUGAUGACUGUUCUAUUAGUGCUUGGAGUAUAAGUGCUUGAGAGAAGGCCAUACCAGGCUGGAACUCAAAUAGAUGAUUUUUAGGCUGGGACUAGGUAGGUAAUUUUCACUAUCCUUUCUGUCUUCCAUUACAGUAUCUCCAAUGUGAGUCUGCCCAAAUAGGAUCCUGUUUAUGGGAAAAUCCUUCAAUUCCUCUGCUUUUGGGGGACUUGGCCAUUUGGUGCAGACCCAGAUGAACUUUCUCCCAGGCCCUUUCAGCCUUCUUGGCUAUAUUCCUUUGUGUUAGCUGCAUAUCUCCCCAAAACUCUUUCAGAGACCCACAGUGACCACAAUGGACUAGGGAUCUGGUAGAUGAUUUUUAACUACCCUUCUUAUCCAUCAUUACACUCUAAAUUCUGAGGCAUUCUGCUGGCAAGAAUUCAUUAUACCACCCCAACAGAUUCAUUAGAGCCUCAAUAUUUUGCCCUACAUCCAGGCCGUACAUCCAGGGUCCCACUAGUACUUUUAUUUCUGUCUAUUUUGGCUUCAUUUUUUAAAAAAUCAAGUGUCCAAAAAUGUGUGAUUUUAUUUCUGGGCCUUUGAUUAGAUUCCAUCCAUCAACCUGUCUUUUUCUAUACCAAUACCAUGCAAAUUUAUGCAAUACAGCUAUAGAUCAGGAAUGCUGAUACCCCCUAAAGUUCUAUUAUUGUACAGGAUUGUUUUAGAUUUCCUGGGUUUUCGUUUUUCCAUAUGAAGUAGAAAAUUGUUCUAUCAUGGUCUGUAAAGACGUUUGUUUGGGAUUUUCAUGGGAAUUGUAUUGAAUUUGUAAAUUUAUUUUUGUAAGGUGUCCAUCAACACUUGCAUAACUCAUUGCACAUGGAGAAGUGAAGCUGGUGUAUCUUUGUAACGUUUCUACAGUAAAACACACUCGGACAACCAGGUCUUUCUAUGGCAAAGCUUUUUAUUGUUUACUUUUCAGGAAGACCUCGAACCCGGAAAAUGGAGCUGCUUAAAUACCCCUCUGUGUGAUGUGUCAGCUCUUGAUUAGCUGUUUACUUAUCACCCCACUGCUACACUCCGAGAUGGGCAGUGACUUGGCACGAAUUUACUCUAGCACCUGCGCACAUUGCUUGUUUACUAGUUAGGCACUGUGAAAGCCAGAGCCAUCUUGUAAUGGUGAUUGUUUAUGGCUCUCUACAUCUCCCCCUUUUUAUUUUAUUAAAACGCAAGCCACUCUUUAAUGGAUGAAGAUAGAGGUCUAAUCUCUAGUGUGUAGAAAUAGGGGCCAUGUCAGGAUUGGCUCUUAGGCUCACAGGUUUUUACCCAGAGCAACCCUGACCUGUUCCCAUGCAGUUUUUUUUUUUUUUUUUAGGGGAGGGACACUUGGACACUCAAAUCUCAUGUAAAUCGACUUGUCUUCUAGGAGUGCCCAAACCCCUGAGUGACUCUUAUGUGGUGCUUAGCCCAACAAUCUAUAAGAGUUAAAGACCUACUCACUCGUUCCUGUGCAAUGAGUCUAGCCUCUAGGGGUGUAAGAGCUGAGUAUGGCCUAGGGCAAGCUUUAAUUGUUGAGUCUCUCUCAUUUUCCGCAGAGCCAAGGAGCACAAGAGCAGAGAACUCAGAUGUCAAUUAAGUCUUAAGCAUGGAUAGCCAAAUUUCAGGGGAGGCCCCUUGUUCAAUGGCUGCAAGUGCUUGAGCAAUAACAACCUUGUCACAAUUUUGUUGGGUUCUGAGCUUACAAACCAACCAGAGCAUAAACAGAAGCCCACAGCAGAUGGCAGCAGCAAAUAAAACUACCCCCACCCAUUCCUUAAAAUAAGAAAAUGCAGAUGAAAUCCAGGAGGAGAGACCCUCUGUCAAUGACAGCUCUACUCUUGUCGAGUUGAUCUUUAGAACGGCCACUCUCAGGGCCUCAAGGGUCUCAUCGAAUCUUUCAGACCAAUUUCUUGUAAGAUACAAAGAAAGCUGCCUAGACAGAUUAGCUGUACGAGUAAAUUUUUCAUAUUGAACACUGGCAAUGUACAGAGUGCCUAUUUUUUUUUUUUUACAGCCCAACUGGGCCAACUGGCAUAGAACACUUAUUUGUUCUUCAGCCAGAUCAAGGCGCUAAUUUAAAAUCAUCAGCUCUCCUUUCAACUGGGCACUAACACCUCUCUCAUUACUUACAAUCUUUUGGUAAUAUGGCCAAAUAUUUUCUUUUUCUGUAGCAUCUCUUUUAUCAUUCAUUACAGCAAAAUCUAAUGGAGGUGACAAAACAAAACCCUAUGUUAUUUCUUUCUGAGAAAAAAAGUUUUUGAUUGACAAGGUGAAAAAACUAUAGGAAAUGUAAGGUCCAGAUGACACCAAAGCAUGCUGUAUAUAGCAGUAGUAUUGCCAACAGGCCAUUGUGAUCUUUAGGGAAUAGUCUCAUUUCCCUUUAUUAUAAUUGUGGUGAUGUUUAUAGGUGAAGUUACAUUUUUUUUAACAUCACUUGAGCCUGACUGUGCUCCUUGAGCAACUUGCGUU